UACGAAGGGGGCUAGCGUUGCUCGGAAUGACUGGGCGUAAAGGGCGCGUAGGCGGCGGUCACAGUCAGAUGUGAAAUUCCUGGGCUUAACCUGGGGGCUGCAUUUGAUACGUGGCUGCUUGAGUGGGGAAGAGGGUCGUGGAAUUCCCAGUGUAGCGGUGAAAUUGCGUAGAUUGUGGAAGAACACCGGUGGCGAAGGCGGCACUCCUGGAC
rnacentral:rRNA from 1 species